CCUACGGGGGGCUGCAGUGGGGAAUAUUGGACAAUGGGGGCAACCCUGAUCCAGCCAUGCCGCGUGUGUGAAGAAGGCCCUCGGGUUGUAAAGCACUUUCAGUGAGGAAGAACGCCUGGUGGUUAAUACCCAUCAGGAAAGACAUCACUCACAGAAGAAGCACCGGCUAACUCCGUGCCAGCAGCCGCGGUAAUACGGAGGGUGCGAGCGUUAAUCGGAAUUACUGGGCGUAAAGCGCGCGUAGGUGGCUUGAUAAGCCGGUUGUGAAAGCCCCGGGCUCAACCGGGGAACGGCAUCCGGAACUGUCAAGCUAGAGUGCAGGAGAGGAAGGUAGAAUUCCCGGUGUAGCGGUGAAAUGCGUAGAGAUCGGGAGGAAUACCAGUGGCGAAGGCGGCCUUCUGGACUGACACUGACACUGAGGUGCGAAAGCGUGGGUAGCAAACAGGAUUAGAUACCCCUGUAGUC
rnacentral:rRNA from 1 species